rnacentral:lncRNA from 1 species
GGCAAAGCUACUAAGCGGCUAAUGGCAAUCCAGGCUGAAUGCAGACAGCACCAGGCUCCAUCAUGCUGCUAAGACCGGCGCCAUUUAGAACAUAUGCAUGUUUAUUUCUGGAAUUGUUUAUUCGUGUCACAAUGCUUGCAUCAUUCAUCUCAUUUCAUCUCAUCACACGGGCAUCGUAUCAUCUCACGUCAUCACAAGGAGAAGUUUCUGCAACGCACACUGAGUGUCACCUGAUGAUCCACUUUCCUAAGCCUCAUAGAUGGUUCUUAGCAGCCCAUCAACCCAUUAGAGCUGGCUUCUGAACCUUUUGGCUUUGACAUUACUGUUGGAACUCCUGCAGGU